rnacentral:rRNA from 1 species
UGGGGAAUAUUGGACAAUGGGCGAAAGCCUGAUCCAGCCAUGCCGCGUGUGUGAAGAAGGUCUUCGGAUUGUAAAGCACUUUAAGUUGGGAGGAAGGGCAGUAAAUUAAUACUUUGCUGUUUUGACGUUACCGACAGAAUAAGCACCGGCUAACUCUGUGCCAGCAGCCGCGGUAAUACAGAGGGUGCAAGCGUUAAUCGGAAUUACUGGGCGUAAAGCGCGCGUAGGUGGUUCGUUAAGUUGGAUGUGAAAUCCCCGGGCUCAACCUGGGAACUGCAUUCAAACUGACGAGCUAGAGUAUGGUAGAGGGUGGUGGAAUUUCCUGUGUAGCGGUGAAAUGCGUAGAUAUAGGAAGGAACACCAGUGGCGAAGGCGACCACCUGGACUGAUACUGACACUGAGGUGCGAAAGCGUGGGGAGCAAAACAGGAUUAGAUACCCUGGUAGUCCACGCCGUAAACGAUGUCAACUAGCCGUUGGGAGCCUUGAGCUCUUAGUGGCGCAGCUAACGCAUUAAGUUGACCGCCUGGGGAGUACGGCCGCAAGGUUAAAAC